UCUACCGAUUCUUCCCCCAACUUCUUCCCCGAUUCAUUUCGUCCCGAGCUUACCAGCGACCGACGAUUUCGCCACUUCUCUCGGUGUCGCCGGCAAGGAGUUGAUCUGGAGCAUUGAGGAGGGAAGGCAAGCUACAAGCGUUCCUUUUCUUCCUCUUCCUCUCCCUCUCGAUUACUCCUUGCAGACUACCGACGCCGAUGGAGGGCGGUUCUGCUUCGACAAUCUCGGUCUCACCGCGUCACUCGAGCGUCGCCGGAGGACGGUGGCUGGAAUCUUGAAGGUACCAUCGUUGUUCAAGCGUUCCUUGGUGGAGUGAUCGUCUCCUCUACUGGUUCAUGCACGCAGUCGACAGCGAUCGACGGGGUUCGGAUCUAGGGCACAGUGAGGGGCCUUGACUCGCGUCCCUAGUUGAUCGAUUGUUCCUCCUCAUCGACUUGUUUACUGGAGAGUCACUUGUUGCUCUACAUCAGCCAGAUUGAAGUGGGUGGCAUCACCUAGAAGCAACCGAUUCAAGACUAGGAGGAGUUGGAUCAGUAUUGUGGAUCUUCCCCUGUGCCAAUCACUGUCCUCCAUUUCUUGUAGCAGAUUGAGUCUCGGCUGAGAGAUUGGGAAUCAAUUCAAGGAAUCUAUGGUAGCUGUUGGCAGGUGUUCUUGUGGGGUUGUGAGUUUGGAUCUGCUGCUACCUCCCAAGGACUUGGAUUCAGGACGAGUGUCUCGACGUGGGAUUUCCGGAUCACGCUUGACAGAUUUAAGGCGG